CUUUCUCCUGCGACCACAAGGCCAGACACCAACAGUGCACGGUCCCAGCUCAGGCGGCCAACCAGUGAGCCUGGACAGACCUGCACAGGUCUACCUGCCCCUCCCAGGAUGGGGGUGGACCUGGAGGUCGGCCCAGGGAGUGUGGCCUGGGCAUGCAGGAACACGGCAGGAGGCCCUCAUCCAGAGGGACAGCGGGAGCAGCGUUGCCACGGCUGGGCCUCUCCCAGGCACGCGGCCAGGCCGUGCUUUGGUUUUCUGCGGAUUUUCUUUCACUAGCGAUUUUUAAAAGCUGCGAAUGCACAGUGACUGCACUCUUGGAGGUUUAUCCUGGGGAAAUGAGAACUCUGACCCAGCAGAGGACUUGCCAGAACCUUCUCGGCAGCUCUCCAAGAACCGGAGGCGACCUGGGAGCGUUCCCGGGGCUGACUCCUACUCAGCAUCAUCACCA
rnacentral:lncRNA from 1 species